rnacentral:rRNA from 1 species
GAGUUAAUCCAGUAAGACCCCUUGAAGACGACGAGGUAGAUAGGGCAGAGGUGGAAGUGUGGUAACACAUGGAGCUGACUGUCACUAAUAGGUCGAGGGCUUGACCAAA